rnacentral:piRNA from 1 species
CCGGCCCACGCACCAAAUAUAAGACUCUGU